CAUUGCUUGCUCCUUCGCAGCGAUCGACGAUUGACUGCGGCACGAUUAUUGC
rnacentral:sRNA from 1 species